GAUGAACGCUGGCGGCGUGCCUAAUACAUGCAAGUCGAGCGAACGGACGAGAAGCUUGCUUCUCUGAUGUUAGCGGCGGACGGGUGAGUAACACGUGGAUAACCUACCUAUAAGACUGGGAUAACUUCGGGAAACCGGAGCUAAUACCGGAUAAUAUUUUGAACCGCAUGGUUCAAAAGUGAAAGACGGUCUUGCUGUCACUUAUAGAUGGAUCCGCUCUGCUUUAGCUAGUUGGUAAGGUAACGGCUUACCAAGGCAACGAUGCAUAGCCGACCUGAGAGGGGGAUCGGCCAACCCGGAACCAGGAACCGGCCCAAGCCCCCAGGGGGGGCACGGAUGGGGAACUUUGCCAAAAGGGGCAAAUCCGUGCGGGAGAACCCCCGGGUGGGAAAAAAGGUUUUGGGGUCCGAAAACCUCUUUAUUAAGGAAGAACAUAUGUGUAAGUAACUGUGCACAUCUUGACGGUACCUAAUCAGAAAGCCACGGCUAACUACGUG
rnacentral:rRNA from 1 species